CGGGGUGAGUAACGCGUGGAGAACCUGCCGUAUACUGGGGGAUAACACUUAGAAAUAGGUGCUAAUACCGCAUAAGCGCACAGCUUCGCAUGAAGCAGUGUGAAAAACUCCGGUGGUAUACGAUGGAUCCGCGUCUGAUUAGCUUGUUGGCGGGGUAAAGGCCCACCAAGGCGACGAUCAGUAGCCGACCUGAGAGGGUGAACGGCCACAUUGGGACUGAGACACGGCCCAAACUCCUACGGAAGGCAGCAG
rnacentral:rRNA from 1 species